GUCAGAAGUGGAAUAAAAUUGUGAUGCUAAAUCCUUAACAAUUUGAACCAAACCUUUCAAGUCAUUGCUUCCCAAUUCAAGGCAGUCCCUUAAUAAUCCACCAUCCACCACCUCUCUCUGCACCGCCUCCGCCACCUCCUUCAAAGCUUCCGAUCGAUUAAACACGCGGAUAAACCUUUUUAAACGCAUAAACACUUCAAAGAUCUUCAAAAAAAGGUUGAAGAGAACAUAAAUAUCAAGCAUCGUACCGAUCGAUUAAACACGUGGAUAAACCUUUUUAACACCGACUUAGCAAUUCUUACGACAUCACUGUAGUUUCUCGCAACCCAAGAGA
rnacentral:misc_RNA from 1 species